rnacentral:rRNA from 1 species
AUUGAACGCUGGCGGCAGGCCUAACACAUGCAAGUCGAGCGAGCGGCGGACGGGUGAGUAAUGUAUGGGGACUGCCCGAUAGAGGGGGAUACCUACUGGAAACGGUGGCUAAUACCGCAUACUAUCGGAUAACCCAUAUGGGAUUAGCUAGUAGGUAAGGUAAUGGGUUACCUAGGCGACGAACCCUAGCUGGUCUUAGAGGAUGAUCCGCCACACUGGGACUGAGACACGGCCCAGACUCCGACGGAGGCAGCAGUGGGUAAUAUUGCACAAUGGGCGCAAGCCGGAUGCAGCCAUGCCGCGUGUAUGAAGAAGGACCUAGGGUUGUAAAGUACUUUCAGUCGGGAGGCGUUAACGACAGAAGAAGCACCGGCUAACUCCGUGCCAGCAGCCGCGGUAAUAC